UGCACAGCCGGCUUUAAUGGCAUUUUCCAGUUGCAAAAAGGGCGUCAAAAUGUAGCAUCAGAGGAUAGCAGAGGGGCAUAUAAGCGGGUUGCUGCUGCUACUGUACAUCACUGUCCGCCUGUUAACCACUGGAAAACAAGACAUGCUACAAAAAUGGACAAGAGUCGAGAGUUCAUCUCCAGAUGUAGCAACGGAUCCCCUAUUUUUUGUGUGAGUGGAAGUGGGGCAUAGAGCCUGGGCGGAGGGCUGGGAGGAGAGAUGGCUGACGGGGAGGCAUGCUGACUGGAGGAGUGCCAGCCGCUCUCACCCAGGAUCCUUGGGCCACUCCACCAGGCCUACCAUCACAAAUCUUGGGAUAAAGAUGGACCCUGAACUCA